GCGGGGGUGGUGCCGGCCGCGUCCCCGCCCCGCGUGACGCCGGGACGGAAACGGGCGCGGCGCGGGCGGCCGGGAGAGGGGCCGCCAUGGAGUUCCCGGACCUGGGGGCUCACUGCUCGUGGGCCGCCUGCCAGCGCCUGGAUUUCCUGCCCCUCAAGUGCGACGCCUGCGAGCGGAUCUUCUGCACCGACCACGUCGCGUACGCCCAGCACGAGUGCACCUCCGCCUACAAGAAGGACGUGCAGGUGCCCGUGUGCCCGCUGUGCAACACGCCGGUGCCGGUGCGGCGGGGCGAGAUGCCCGACGUGGUGGUGGGAGAGCACAUAGACCGCGACUGCAGGUCCGACCCCGCGCAGCGCCAGCGCAAGAUCUUCACCAACAAGUGCUUGAAGCCGGGCUGCAAGCAGAAGGAGAUGAUGAAGGUGAUCUGCGAGCAGUGCCACAAGAACUACUGCCUGAAGCACCGGCACCCGCUGGACCAUGACUGCGCUGGGGCUGGGCGGCCGCUCUCUAAAGCGGGGCAUGCUGCACUCGCCAGGGCCCAGGCGUCCCCCCCCCAAGCCGGCAGCACGUCGAGCAGCGCCGCCCGGCCCGCAGGCAGCCCCCCCUGCCCUGCCCCUGCCAGAGGUGUGGGAGCGGCCGUGCCCCAGGCCCGCAGCACCUCCCCGCCAGCUGCCGUGCUGCAGAACGGGCUGAGCGAGGAGGAAGCGCUGCAGCGGGCACUGGAGAUGUCCCUGGCGGAGUCGGCACGCGGCUCGGCACAGCAGCCCAGGUACAGCUGGGGCACGUGGUGCCACCCCCGUGCACGCCUGGCUUGCGGGGCCGGGGGUGAUGCUGCCCACAGCACGGGGCUGCACCUGAUGGCCCUGCUCUGCAGGGUGCUGGGGAAAAGGGAAGAGCCCGGAGCUGCGGUUGAGCCCACUGCCGGGCAGGGACAGUGCCGGGCAGCGCAGGGGGAACACGCUGCUUCCUGACUGCUUGGCACUGACGGGCACAGCCAGAGGUGCGGGGGGCAGCCAGCAGCCCGUGGGCACGCUGCUCAGCACUGCUGAAUGGAACGAGAGCGUGCAGGCAGCCCCCUGCCCUCUGCUGCCCUGGGGGCGUAGGGGGGUGGGCACGUGGGGGUGCCAGGCACACGGUGUGCCGCUGUCCCCACAGCACGCAGGAGGAGGAGGACCUGGCGCUGGCGCAGGCACUGUCAGCGAGCGAGGCUGAGUACCAGCAGCUGCAGCGGCAGGCACACGGCUCAAAGCCAUCCAACUGCAGCAUGUCAUAGGCACGUGUGGGCUGUGCCGGUGGAUGUGGCAUCCCGCUCGUGGCACGAGGAGCGGCCGUGGCACCGCACGUGGACGCUGUGGGGCCCUGGCCUGGGUGCCACCAAGAGCUACCUGAUCUCCCCAGGGCUCUAAGCAAGCCACCGAGCGCGCACCGACAUCUCACCCUGCAUGCAGGCGGUGCAGCACGCUCCUGGAGAGGUGGGGGCUGCAGGGUGACCCGAGCGCAUGCUGAGCACAGCAGCUGCGGGCUGGGUCAUCUCCUUGGGAGGAGCCCAAAGGGGCAUCUGCGGGCGGUGCCGGGGGCUGGCGGUGCGUUGGGGUCGGGGCAAGGGAGUGCUGAUGUGUCAAAGUGCUGCUUGGGAGAAAAUAAAGGCACGGCCAAGGUA